GAGCUCUUAAAUCCACAACACACCUGUGAACCCACCGUAGGCCUUCGGGCUUAUGUAUCAUAUACUCUGAAUGUGUCAUAGAAUGUUCAUGUUGCCUUAAAACGCAAUCAAAUACAACUUUCAACAACGGAUCUCUUGGCUCUCGCAUCGAUGAAGAACGCAGCGAAAUGCGAUAAGUAAUGUGAAUUGCAGAUUUUCAGUGAAUCAUCGAAUCUUUGAACGCACCUUGCGCUCCUUGGUAUUCCGAGGAGCAUGCCUGUUUGAGUGUCAUUAAAUUCUCAACCCCACCGAUUUGCUUUGGGGGGAUUGGACUUGGAGCGUGCUGGCGAAGGUCGGCUCCUCUUUAAAUGCAUCAGUGGAGAGAAACUCGCCCCAGUGUGAUAAUCCUGUUGCGCUGUGGUGGGCGAAAGUCUGCUUCCAACCGUCCUCCGGGACAUACACCAUCUUAUUUUGACCUCAAAUCACGUAGGACUAC
rnacentral:rRNA from 1 species